rnacentral:rRNA from 1 species
CAAUAGCGUAUAUUUAAGUUGUUGCAGUUAAAAAGCUCGUAGUUGGAUUUCGGGUGGGACGCAGCGGUCUCGCAUUGCGUUUGUACUGCUGCAGCCCUCCUUCUUGCCGGGGGCGGCCUCUCGGACUUCACUGUCUGGGGGUCAGAAUCGGCGAUGUUACUUUGAGUAAAUUAGAGUGUUCAAAGCAAGCUUACGCUCUGAACAUAAUAGCAUGGGAUAACACGACAGGACUCUGGCCUAUCGUGUUGGUCUAUAGGACCAGAGUAAUGAUUAAGAGGGACAGUCGGGGGCAUUCGUAUUCCGUUGUCAGAGGUGAAAUUCUUGGAUUUACGGAAGACGAACAUCUGCGAAAGCAUUUGCCAAGGAUGUUUUCAUUGA